UACGUAGGGAGCGAGCGUUGUCCGGAAUUACUGGGUGUAAAGGGUGCGUAGGCGGAUACGCAAGUCAGUAGUGAAAUGCAUGGGCUUAACCCAUGACGUGCUAUUGAAACUGUGUAUCUUGAGUGAAGUAGAGGCAGGCGGAAUUCCCGGUGUAGCGGUGAAAUGCGUAGAGAUCGGGAGGAACACCAGUGGCGAAGGCGGCCUGCUGGGCUUUAACUGACGCUGAGGCACGAAAGUGUGGGUAGCAAACAGG
rnacentral:rRNA from 1 species